GGAGGCGGGAGAGCGCCUGGUGGCCUUCACGAUCUUCAAAAUCGAUGGUCCCGGGGACCCCGGGACGGCGGGUUCGAUUCCCGUACGCCUCCGCCA
rnacentral:tRNA from 1 species